CUUUUUCUUGCCCCCAGAACACCUUCAGGCGCCCGGAAUCUACUGAUAAUGCACCAAUGACUCCCUGCCCCCUUUAAAAAGCAGCCACAUUCAGGAACCUCAGCGGUGCCACCCGCCACAACGCGCUUUAGCCGACGGCUUAAUUCAAAGGACCAAGCAGUCACUCUUGACAGCACCUCUGCAGCCAGCCCGAAAACUCCAGCCCAAGGACGCCGUCUUGCCGACUCUGAUAUAGAAAGUCUGAUACAGAAACUUAAGGGAAGGUUGCCUUUACUCAAUCCUGGUAGAUUCCCAGUUUGCCAACUCCCUCUCCGGCCCAGGCCGGUAAUUUUCGACUCCUCCCCCGCCUCUUUGACCUCGGAGGUAUCCCCCUCCCCCCGCUUCUCCUUGCUGUAAACCUCCCGAGGCUGAGGUAAAACAACGCAGAGACUCUAAAUUCAGAGCUGAGGCUUAGACAGACUGCAGAAGAGAGAGGAAAAGUGCCCGGGCUUUCUGAAAAGAACAUCAGCUGGAUUUGAUGAAUUCCGUCAGCUAAAUGGGGCUUCUUUGCUCCUGGGUUCUCCGAGAGCUGGGGCGGCAAGGUGGGUGCAAUUUGCAAGCUUUGGAGCAGAUCUAGUAGACUACAAGCCAACUUCGGAGCCCACAGCUCCUUUGCUAUGUAGGCUCACUCCCCAUCUACUAGAAGAAGGAUACACUUAGGGAAAGCUUUGUUAAAGGUAGGGUUCUGGGCCGACUUGGACCAAGCCUCUUAGUGCAUCCUGAUCUCUGGUUUCAACCAAGGAUCCCAGGCAGAACUCAGUUAAAUUUUGUCUUAUUCAGUAGUUACAGAGGGCAAGGGGAGGAUUUCCUUUGGAAAGGGUUAUUCCCCCGAUUAAGAGAAAACAGUAAAUACCUCCAGAAAUACGAUUUUGUGAAGGAGUUGGCAAAUCACUGUCCUCAUUUGACCCAGCUCCUCACAACCAUCAGCUUCGGAUCCUCAGUCUCAGGACUGACCUGAGGUUUGCGGCUUCGUCCCUGCCGGGAAUGUGCAAUUCUAUCCUGACUGAGAGCCGAGCAGCAGACCGCACAUGAUCACUGCCUUUGGAGCCGGCCGCCAAAGAAUCCAGAGAAAGGAAUGCUGAUGACAGAAACAACCACCUGAACUCAGAAAGGCAGGCUAGGAGCCUCUGCCUGGAGACGAAAGUUCUGGCUAAUUCACUCGGAUUGUUUUAACAGGUUAAUAAAGUAAUUGGCACUCAACACGACUACAGUCUCAGUAGGAGUCCUAGGCGAUAAGAUGGGAAUCGCAGUGAAGAUCCCCCAACAAGCCACAGGCAACUGGAAGAGAAAUAAAUUAGCUCUAAGCAUCUACAUCCAGCUCCUCAUGGAUCAGAGACUGUUCAGGAAAAAAAGUAGAAAAGAGUACACGUGCAUUCUUUGUCCUUUUCAGGGCCGAAUGAACUCGUCCAUGUUUUCUUCUGACCCCUAAUAUAUGUGUUUAUGAAGGUGAGGGGAAUAUAUCGUUUGGUUACAUUUUUCCAUUUGAAUAGAUUGUUCAUUAAAAGUGGAAGCCUAUUUGUUCUACUAAGUUCAAACCAAACUCUGGUUCCUGGGAAUAAAUAAGCGAAAGUAUUCAUAGCUUAAGGAAAAUUUGACCAAAGAAAGCCCCCCUUUUCGGCUCAAUAUUAUUUAUGUAGAAAAGCAUGGCUUUUCUCAUUAUACAAUUUUUUUCAAAGAAACACUUAGUAUUCUAUUAUAUCUGCUAGUCAUUAGAGAAUAAAUAAGUUCUAAAUAUUAUUUUACCUUUCAAUUGCAGCUAGAACAUAUUAAGAUUUUUAAAAAUGGUGUUCAUGAGGUUCAGAAAUCUGUGUCUGACUUUAAAUAUAAUGUGGAGUGUUUCCGUUUUAAUUAAACAGGAGUACACAAACAAAACAAUCUUUAAUGGACCACCAAGUAGCUUAAAAAUAACAAUACACUCCAAGAAGUGUAUUCCAAGGCCUGUGGGCAAAUACUACAGACUCAAGAGGAACUUAUUAAAUUAUCUUAACAUGUAUCUCUAUUGUAUGAAGACACUGGAAUCUUAUAUAGGUGAAGGAGGAUGAAGAAAUAAUUUCUGCACUUCACUCAUUACUUCAUUUUCAAAAUGAAGGAGCUCAAACUACAGAUCCACACCCCUGCGGUUUUGAAGGACAUAUAUUUGCCCUAGUAGCAUACAAAGGUCACAUGAAGUCCAAUUUUGACAGAAGAGUGUCUAAUCCCUCAUUGAACACAAGAGGUCGCCCCUGUAAUCAAGUGCUCAGGGAAAAUAUUGCUAAUCACUUUUAUGUAAUCAGUUUUAUGUAUGCUAUAAAAACGCUGACAACUUUACAGAUAUGCUUGAUGUGUUAAAUACACACAUAGCAAUCAACUAGGGGAGGAGGAAAAAGUCUGUGGUCAUAUGAGAAUCUCUAGGGAAAGGGAACCAGUGUUGCCGACUGCAGGAACUUCGAUUUUUAUGCAAAUUGUAUAAUCACAAACACACGGACCUUCAUAGCACAUUCAUCAUGGGAUCUUAUUAUUACUGAGUUCCCUCCAGCGUUUCCCUAUGAGUGGGAGUAGCUUAUGCAUGGAUCCUGGCUUUUAUCAGUCUAAGAACCAGGAAAAUGCCUGCUUACAAUAGUGUCCUGAACUAAGAAAAGGAACUCUGUGUCUGGAACUCUGUGGAAGAACU